rnacentral:rRNA from 1 species
CCUACGGUGGGCAGCAGUCGAGACUCAUUCACAAUGGGGGACACCCUGAUGGUGCGACGCCGCGUGGGGGAAUGAAGGUCUUCGGAUUGUCAACCCCUGUCAUGUGGGAGCAAAUUAAAAAGAUAGUCCCACAAGAGGAAGAGACGGCUAACUCUGUGCCAGCAGCCGCGGUAAUACAGAGGUCUCAAGCGUUGUUCGGAAUCACUGGGCGUAACGCGUGCGUAGGCUGUUUCGUAAGUCGUGUGGGAAAGGCGCGGGCUCAACCCUCGGACGGCACAUGAUACUGCGAGACUAGAGGAAUGGAGGGGGAACCGGAAUUCUCGGUGUAGCAGGGAA